AUUAAUACAACGUGAAACCUUCAAAUCUGCAUGCAAGUCUGGGAGAGAGAUUGACCUCGAAAGGACGAAGUCGUUAAAGCAAACGGGUUUAAAGGCGAAGUGAGUGGUGAUUCACUUGCCAUGGAUGAGUAAUGUUAACAAAUCCAGCAUAAUAAGAGAAUUAUCAAAGAAUAAUAUAAUCUCCAUGAUGUAUAAAAUUAGCAAAUCAUGUUUUAUGUCUGGAUAUCCAGAAGCAUUACUCGACGGAAUUGUACUGAACUGUUAUUUCCUGACAUUCCAUGAAGAACAAUAUAUUUUUCACGUUUUACUAGUCAAUAGAGCAAAAGAUAAGUGUUGUUUAUUGCUUUCAUCGAGAACUCAUGGCUCACUUUAACAAUUAAAGCUUCAUGGUAAAAACUCUGCACUUUCAAUCUAACAUUGUCUACAACAUUUUUUCCAUCCACGGAAUUCUACAAAUGAAAAAAUUUGCACCGGAAUGCCUCAUCAUUCACUAUUGGCUAUUCGAACCUCGAAUUGGCACAAACUCGGUCAUGGAAAGAAAGGUACCUCUAUAAAAUAAUGUUGAAUGAGCCAUGUCAAGGUUGUUUGCCAUGAAAUUGUACAUACAGGGAAUAAGUCCUUAAUCGAUAUUUGCAUGCACAUUGAGCAUUUGCAGAAAAUACCGGACCUUCAUAUGCGAAACAAGCUGAUUCAUUUCCAUAAUUUAUUACAUUCGCAAUAAAGAAACGUUUAGUCGCCCAAAGAGCUUUUACUUGUAGAAAUUUCCGAAACUUUAAGAACCUUCAUUUCGAUCCUUCCUC